UGGGGAAUAUUGCACAAUGGAGGGAACUCUGAUGCAGCGACGCCGCGUGAGUGAUGAAGGAAUUCGUUUCGUAAAACUCUUUUCUAUGGGAAGAAAAGGACUGUACCAUAGGAGAAAGCUCCGGCUAAAUACGUGCCAGCAGCCGCGGUAAUACGUAUGGAGCGAGCGUUGUCCGGAAUUAUUGGGCGUAAAGGGUGCGCAGGCGGCUUUACAAGUUGGAUGUGAAAUAUUGUGGCUCAACCACAAACGUGCAUCCAAAACUGCAAAGCUUGAGUUAAGGAGAGGUAAGUGGAAUUCCUGGUGUAGCGGUGGAAUGCGUAGAUAUCAGGAGGAAUACCGGUGACGAAGGCGACUUACUGGACUUAAACUGACGCUCAGGCACGAAAGCGUGGGGAGCAAACAGG
rnacentral:rRNA from 1 species